rnacentral:lncRNA from 1 species
AUGGAGUUAAAUCCAGUUGAGGCCAGUCACUAAUGGAGUCCCCCAGGGCUCAGUACUGGGGCCAGUUCUCUUUAAUAUCUUUAUCAAUGAUCUGGAUGAGGGGAUCGAGUGCACCCUCAGUAAGUUUGCAGAUGACACCAAGUUAGGUGCGUGUGUCGAUCUGCUCGAGGGUAGGAAGGCUCUGCAGGAGGAUCUGGAUGGGCUGGACCGAUGGGCUGAGGCCAACUGUAUGAAGUUCAACAAGGCCAAGUGCCGGGUCCUGCACCUGGGGCAUAACAACCCCAAGCAACACUACAGGCUGGGAGAAGAGUGGUUGGAAAGCUGCCUGGCAGAGAAGGACCUGGGAGUAUUGGUUGAUAGUCGGCUGAAUAUGAGCCAGCAGCGUGCUCAGGUGGCCAAGAAGGCCAACAGCAUCCUGGCUUGUAUAAGAAACAGUGUGGCCAGCAGGUCUAGGGAAGUGAUUGUCCCCCUGUACUCGGCUCUGGUGAGGCCGCACCUCGAGUACUGUGUUCAGUUUUGGGCCCCUCGCUACAAGAAGGACAUGGAGGUGCUUGAGAGAGUCCAGAGAAGGGCAACGAAGCUGGUGAGGGGUCUGGAGAACAAGUCUUACGAGGAGCGGCUGAGGGAGCUGGGAUUGUUCAGCCUGGAGAAGAGGAGGCUCAGGCGCGACCUUAUCACUCUGUACAGGUACCUUAAAGGAGGCUGUAGCGAGGUGAGGGUUGGUCUAUUCUCCCACGUGCCUGGUGACAGGAUGAGGGGGAAUGGGCUAAAGUUGCGCCAGGGGAGGUUUAGGUUGGAUGUUAGGAAGAGCUUCUUUACUGAAAGGGUUGUUAGGCAUUGGAAUGGGCUGCCCAGGGAGGUGGUUGAGUCACCAUCCCUGGAGGUCUUUAAGAGACGUUUAGAUGUAGAGCUUAGUGAUAUGGUUUAGUGGAGGACUUGUUAGUGUUAGGUCAGAGGUUGGACUAGGUGAUCUUGGAGGUCUCUUCCAACCUAGACGAUUCUGUGAUUCUGUAAGCUUGCUCUGGGACUCAAAUCAG